AGAGUUUGAUCCUGGCUCAGGAUGAACGCUAGCGGCAGGCCUAACACAUGCAAGUCGAGGGGUAACAGAUAAUUAGCUUGCUAAUUAUGCUGACGACCGGCGCACGGGUGAGUAACGCGUAUGCAACCUACCUUUAACAGGGGAAUAGCCCGAGGAAACUCGGAUUAAUGCCCCAUAAUAUUUAGCUGUCACCUGGCAGUUAUCUUAAAGCUCCGGCGGUUAAAGAUGGGCAUGCGUGACAUUAGUUUGUUGGUGAGGUAACGGCUCACCAAGACAGCGAUGUCUAGGGGUUCUGAGAGGAUGAUCCCCCACACUGGUACUGAGACACGGACCAGACUCCUACGGGAGGCAGCAGUGAGGAAUAUUGGGCAAUGGACGCAAGUCUGACCCAGCCAUGCCGCGUGUAGGAAGAAUGUCCUAUGGAUUGUAAACUACUUUUAUGCAGGAAGAACUCUCUCGACGUGUCGAGAGCUGACGGUACUGCACGAAUAAGCACCGGCUAACUCCGUGCCAGCAGCCGCGGUAAUACGGAGGGUGCAAGCGUUAUCCGGAUUUAUUGGGUUUAAAGGGUGCGCAGGCGGCUUACUAAGUCAGUGGUGAAAUCUUGCGGCUCAACCGUAAAAUUGCCAUUGAUACUGGUAAGCUUGAAUUCAGUUGAGGUUGGCGGAAUGUGUAAUGUAACGGUGAAAUGCUUAGAUAUUACACAGAACACCGAUUGCGAAGGCAGCUAGCUAAACUGACAUUGACGCUGAGGCACGAAAGCGUGGGGAGCGAACAGGAUUAGAUACCCUGGUAGUCCACGCUGUAAACGAUGAUCACUCGUUGUGUGCGAUACACAGUACGCGACUGAGCGAAAGCAUUAAGUGAUCCACCUGGGGAGUACGUCGGCAACGAUGAAACUCAAAGGAAUUGACGGGGGCCCGCACAAGCGGAGGAACAUGUGGUUUAAUUCGAUGAUACGCGAGGAACCUUACCUGGGCUUAAAUGUAAGUUGCAUGAUCGGGAAACUGAUCUUUCCUUCGGGACUACUUACAAGGUGCUGCAUGGUUGUCGUCAGCUCGUGCCGUGAGGUGUCGGGUUAAGUCCCAUAACGAGCGCAACCCCUAUUGUUAGUUGCUAACAGGUUAAGCUGAGGACUCUAACGAGACUGCCGGUGUAAACCGAGAGGAAGGUGGGGAUGACGUCAAAUCAGCACGGCCCUUAUGUCCAGGGCUACACACGUGUUACAAUGGUCGGUACAAAGAGCAGCCACUUGGCGACAAGGCGCUAAUCUCGAAAACCGAUCCCAGUUCGGAUCGAAGUCUGCAACUCGACUUCGUGAAGGUGGAUUCGCUAGUAAUCGCGCAUCAGCCACGGCGCGGUGAAUACGUUCCCGGGCCUUGUACACACCGCCCGUCAAGCCAUGGAAGCCGGGGGUACCUGAAGUCUGUAACCGCAAGGAGCGGCCUAAGGUAAAACUGGUGACUGGGGCUAAGUCGGAACAAGGUA
rnacentral:rRNA from 1 species